rnacentral:lncRNA from 1 species
GCGAGCCGCCCGGAAUCUUUCUGCUGGGUAGUGUGUGUCUGCACGUGCCCCAGGCUGGCACCCCUCCGUCACCUCCCGGUCACUGCAGGCUGCCUCUGAGGAGGGCAGUACCUGCCCACAAAGGCCCACGGAGCCAUGGCUUCUUCCCAGUGGUGAUCCCUGAUGGGCUGGAAGGUGACCGAACCGCUUGUCCUUUAUAAGCUGGGCUUGCUGCUUGCCGUUGAGGAAGAGCUUGUCAUGGGUGUCAGCGUUUAAAAGUGGAAUUAGAGACGGGGUUUCACCGUGUUGGCCAGGAUGGUCUCCAUCUCUUGACGUCGUGAUCCACCCGCCUCGGCCUCCCAAAGUGCUGGGAUUACAGGCGUGAGCCACCGCACCCGGCCGAUAUUACAAAAUCUGGCCUCCAGAGGAACCAGCGCUGCCGACUCCUUGAUUCUAACCCACUGAGGCCUAUUUUGGAUUUCUGCACCCCAGAACUGUGGGAGAGUAAAUUGUGCUGUUGAAGCCACCACAUUUGUGGUGAUCUGUUCCAGCUGCAGUAGGAAGCUCGUAUGCUUGGCAGUUCUGAUUGUGAACUCACCUUUAUGUUGGAGAUUCCUUUACACAUAAGUCCCCUUAUCCACAGCGGACAAAUUCCAUGACCCCCAGUGGAUGCCUGAAAUCGCGGAGAGUACUGAAUCCUACAUAUAAUGUGUUCUUUCCUAUAUGUAUAUGUAUAUAUCUAUAUCUAUGAUACAGUCUAAUUUAUAAAUUAGGCACAGUGAGAGAUUAACAACAAUAACUAAUAGUAAAAUAGGACAAUGAUGACAAUAUAAUGUAAUAAAAGUUUUGUGAAUAUGGUCUCUCUUCUCUCUCAAAAUAUCUUACUGUAAAAUUAGCUGGCCAUGGUGGCGUGUGCCUGUAGUCCCAGCUACUCAGGAGUGUGAGAAGGGAGGAUCACUUAAGCCUAGGAGGUGGGGGCUGCAGUGAGCCAAAGAUUGUGCCAUUGCACACCAGCCUGGGCAACAGAGUGAGAUCCUGUUUCUAAAAACAAACAAACAAAAAACAAACUUACUGAACUUAUUGUACUGAUAUUUUUGAACCAUGGUCGACUGUGGGUAACUGAAACCAUGAAAAAGUGAAACCACUGAUAAGGGGGAUUGCUGUACUCCCUGCUGUGUCAGUGACUCAGCCUCCCUGGUGGAGGGAACGGCUGCUGGGGAACACAUUGGAAGCUGGUCUUCUGGGUCCCCAGGAGGCAACCUAUUCAUGAAAAUAAUAUGUUCAUUUUAUACAAGUUGGAAAAUAUAGAAUAAUAUAAAUAAUUUGCAUAAGACUCAUAAUCUGGUUCACAGGCAACCAUUAUAAAUAUUUGAAAAAAAUUUUUUUUUUUUUUUAGACAAGAGUUUCGCUCUUGUUGCCCAAGCUGGAGCGCAAUGGC